AUGCCGAUACCCAGGACGUGCUACAACCCCCGGGACCUUGGGGGUGACUCAAUUGUCUCCUUCCUCUCUCCCUCCCCAGGGCUGCGGGCGGCCGUGGAGCUGACGGAGUCCGGGGGGGGCACCGUGACACCCGGGGGGUCCCUCACCCUCCGCUGCAAGGGCUCCGGCUUCACCUUCAGCAGCGUCACCAUGUUCUGGGUGCGACAGGCCCCUGGGAAGGGGCUGGAGUUCGUCGCAGAAAUUAGCAACGGUGGUAGUUACACAAACUACGCGCCCACCUUCUACGCGCCGUCGGUGAAGGGUCGCUUCACCAUCUCCAAGGACAACUCCCAGAGCACGCUCAUGCUGCAGAUGAAGGACCUCAAGGAGGACGACACGGCCACCUACUACUGUGCCAAAGCUGCUGGUAGUUAUAGUUGUGGUUACGGUGCUACUGGUGCUGCUGGUGGCCCCGACCCCAUCACCGUGUCCCCACAUCCCUGA